GUGAGAGAUGUCCUGCAUGGCAACAUGGAGCACCAGAGGGCCCGUUCACGAAUGAAUUGCCCAAGGCCUGGGUGUCAUCACUGUGUUGACGACAUCUACCUGCCUUUGCAUGCCCAGCCAGACCCUGCCUCCUGCCCCAGUGACCUGGGAGAAGCUUAAUUGGCAGUUCUCGGAUGAUGACAUCUUUACUGUAGUGAAUAAAUAGUAACAAUUAACCUUGAUUGCGUGGUUUUGUUACACAUGACUGCAUGUUUCAAUUUGCAGUUGAUUAAAACAACACUGGAGGCUACACUAUGCUCUCAAAGGAUCAUCCCAGCAGGCAGUUGACUUUACAAACAAGCCGAUUCCCAAGUCUUAAGGGAAUGUCUCAAUAUAAUUACUUGUCCAUCCAAAUGAUUUCUACCCAUGAAACUAAUUGACACAGAUUUGUAAUAUUUGUCAGAUAUUCA